rnacentral:lncRNA from 1 species
UUUUAUUGAUAAAAAAAAUCUCAAUGAUUAAGGUUUAUGUAUAAUAACAAACAUUACUAAAGCCAAAACAGUAUCAUUUGUAUUUAGGUAGAGUUUAGAAAUAUAAAAAAUGUCAAAAUUGAAACCCUCUCAAAUUUUCCCAGAUUUUUACAUAUGACCUUUGACCUCAAUUUUAAAAAAAUGUGACCAUAUCAAGUCUUGACGACAGGCAUAUUAUUAUAGUACACGAUUUCCUCUUUCCAAUGAUAUAUUAUAUAGGUGUGUGUUCGGUGGGGAGAUUAAAUUUAAAAAAAUCGGCCUUCAGUCACCGCACUAU